CAUUCACACAAUCACACCACUAGUUUUCCGAAGUGCCUUCCAUCCCGCACAAUACGGUGGGGGAGGAGGCGACGUUCCUGGAUCGGAGACCGCCAAGGACUUACUUCAACCAGAUCAAGGGGUACCCGCGCAGAAGCACUGGAUCUGCCUCAAGAACUACUUCAACCAGAAGCGCGGCCCGGCAAUGUCGCUUGCGCGCCGACCCCUCUCCUCUUGUGAUCUUAUCGAUAUCCCGUUCGUUCUAUGAUGUGCUCGCAUGAUUUCUCUUGCUUGGCGAUUUCUUCUGGUCCAUAGUUGUAGUAACUUGUACCCGGUAGGCCGGUAGGAUCAGGGUUUUUCGUCGUGGUGAUGCCAUGGUAGUCUUUGUUUUGGGGAAUGGAGUUAUUCGUUGGAUUGGAUCCAUCGCUAGCACCAGCGUGGCACCAAUUAGUGAUGUUAUUUUCGGUAAGCGAUCACAGACUCGUCAUGUUCUCAUCCGAUCAGAGUUUGCUGUAUCGUUGGUAGUAGCAUUUAUUUACCUCGUAUUGUCUCAAUCGCAAAUGGAUGAUGGUGAACAGGCGAUUUAGCAUGUUCUGAUGUUCAAACCCUCUCUGUAAUUUUAGCAAACAUGGUGAUGAUGUUCUGUUAGAAUCCAUUUCUGCUAGUGAUAGUAUUGUAGUAGCCAUUUUGUUAGAUGGUGAUGGUAGAGUUUUUUUCCUGGUUUUCUUUUGGGCGAACUAAUCAUGGGGUAAUGGGGGAUUGGGAAUAGGAAAUUUAGCAAGUCUGUGUGUUCCAAGUCAGACUGUUCAGCAAACAUGGUGUUGGUAUUGUGUUCUUUGCAAGCCUGUGUGAAAAAGUUCCUGUUUAGGGCUACCUAGUUUGGAAACUUAGGUUGCAAAUUUUUUCUCGGAAAUAAUGUUGUAUUGCUCUGGGGCAUGUUAGCUUGUAGCCGUGUUGCAUGAUAAGAAGGAACUCAAUGACAUGGACUUGUGCUGCCAAGAUUCCAAGAAUGUGUUUAUGGAAGAGCUGAUGCUUUGAGGUCUUCUAGCUGGCUCUAAAUACUCUCAACAAUGUCUGAUCGGUCCAGUGGAGUUAGGUUUGUUUCAAGCUCCCUAGUUAUUUCCUCCAAAUUUGGAUUACAAGUCAUGGUGAGGAAGUAGUUUGAUUUUCCAUACUUCUGUGCCAAGGUCAUAUCAUCCAUGUAUCAUUGUCUCAUAACCCUUACACCACCAAUAAAUGGCAUCGGUAGAACCAAUCUUUUACCC